GCCGAGUUGACACAAAUACAGGAUUUCGGAACGUCUCUAGUGUUUAUAUCGAAAGUCACGAUAAACACAAACUGAAAGUAAACAGUUGUUUGGAAGACGCAGUUUUCAUUUAGUCAUCAUAAACAUGCUGAAAAUGUCAGUAUGGUAUAUACUUCAGGCUAAAGACGGUCACAUUCAUUUAAAAAGCAUUUUGAAAGCAGACGAUGGAAUUAUUUCAGGUUUGGGGAACGAGUAGAUUAUCACAAAGUUCAUUUCUUGACGACCUCAUAAUUUCACGAUGGUACAAAUCGAUUAACUGUUUACUUUCGCUUUUUUUUUGUAAACUGUCAUUCAUUUUUAAACCCGAACCAGGCAUAUGCAUUCUGUAAUUAUGCAAAUCUUCGUUCUUUGGCCAUUUGGCUUAUGGAUAGUUGUAUCAUUUUCAACUCCUACA
rnacentral:lncRNA from 1 species